UGGCUCAGGACGAACGCUGGGCGGCGUGCCUAAUACAUGCAAGUCGAGCGGACCGAACGAGAGCUUGCUCUUGUUUGGUCAGCGGCGGACGGGUGAGUAACACGUGGGCAACCUGCCCGCAAGACCGGGAUAACUCCGGGAAACCGGAGCUAAUACCGGAUAACACCAAAGACCGCAUGGUCUUUGGUUGAAAGGCGGCUUCGGCUGUCACUUGCGGAUGGGCCCGCGGCGCAUUAGCUAGUUGGUGAGGUAACGGCUCACCAAGGCGACGAUGCGUAGCCGGCCUGAGAGGGUGACCGGCCACACUGGGACUGAGACACGGCCCAGACUCCUACGGGAGGCAGCAGUAGGGAAUCUUCCGCAAUGGACGAAAGUCUGACGGAGCGACGCCGCGUGAGCGAAGAAGGCCUUCGGGUCGUAAAGCUCUGUUGUGAGGGACGAAGGAGCGCCGUUUGAAUAAGGCGGCGCGGUGACGGUACCUCACGAGAAAGCCCCGGCUAACUACGUGCCAGCAGCCGCGGUAAUACGUAGGGGGCGAGCGUUGUCCGGAAUUAUUGGGCGUAAAGCGCGCGCAGGCGGUCCUUUAAGUCUGAUGUGAAAGCCCACGGCUCAACCGUGGAGGGUCAUUGGAAACUGGGGGACUUGAGUGCAGGAGAGGAGAGCGGAAUUCCACGUGUAGCGGUGAAAUGCGUAGAGAUGUGGAGGAACACCAGUGGCGAAGGCGGCUCUCUGGCCUGUAACUGACGCUGAG
rnacentral:rRNA from 1 species